rnacentral:sRNA from 1 species
GCCGGGUAGGGUGGUGCAUGCCUGUAAUCCCAGAGACUUGGAGGCUGAGGAAGGAGGAUCAAGGCCAACCUCUU